rnacentral:lncRNA from 1 species
AAUAAAUUUAACAGGAAAUAAGUUUCCUAAAACAUACUCAAGAAAAUAUGGUAUCAGAAAAAUCAUUACCCUGAAACAGGAAUGUCAGAGAAUAAGAAAAGACUGCCAAAAUUAAAAAUAUGUUUGCAGAAAUUAAAAUUAUAAUAGAAUGGUAAGGUGAUUCAAUUGAGGAAACAUUCCAGAACAUACAGUAUUCAAACAAAAAUGUAGGCAUUUUGGAAAAAACAUAGAGGAGUAAUUUAUCAUAUAACUAAUAGGAAUUCCAGAGACAACAGCAAAUGUUGGAAAGACUGAAAAUUAUCAAAGAAAUAAUUGAGAAAUUACAAGGAACUAAAGAUUAACACAUAAAGUCUCCAGAUUGGCAGGAUUCACCUAGGUCUGAGCAAAAUAAAUGGUAAAAGAAACAAACCUAGCCAAAUAAACAAGACAUUUUAAAGCAUGAAAAAAAUAAAGAAGACUAAAAGCUCCAAAAGCAAGAAUCUGACCUAAAGGAAUAAUGAAUUAGCAUCAAAUUUCUCAUCAGAAACACUAGAUACCAAAGGGCAAGGCCUUCAAAACUCUAAACUGAAAUUAUUUUGAAUUUAGAAUUCUAUUUCCUGUCAAGACAAAAAUCACAUCACAACAUAAUUUAGAAAGCUUAAUCAUAUACUCUGAGAGAUGCUCUCCAGAAAUAUAAGAGUGAAAUACAAAAAUAACAGAUGUGAAAUAUAAGAGUAUGGAGACAGACUGGCCCACGAAAAUGUCCAUGUCCUUAUCCCUGGAAUUUAUGAGUAUAUCAUGUUGCAGGGCAAAAGAAAGUUUGCAGGUACCAUUAAGGUUACCAGCCUGAAAAUUGUGUGUCCUGAAUUAUGCAAUGAACCCAAUAUAAUCACAGGAGUUCUAAAAAUUAGAUACUUUUCUCCAUUUAGAAGCAGAAGGAUUAAAGCAGGAGGGGUCAGAGAGAUCUGAAGUAGUUGAAAGACUCAAUUCACUAUGACUAGCUUUAAAAAUGAAGUAAUGAACCAAAGAACAUAGAUUGCUUCUAGAAGUUGAGAUGACUCCUCAAUCCAGCAGUCAUCAAGAAAACAUGGACCUCAGUCCUACAAAAGCAUGGAACUGAAUUGGGUCAACAACCUGAACAAAUGGGGAAGAACAUUCAUCCAUAGACUCUCAAGAAAGGAGCACCACUCUGAUAAUAUUUUGGGAGGCCUUGCUAGACCCUAAGCAGAAAACUGGGUUGAGCCACACUGUAACUAGAUGUCAGGCUUGUAGGAAGGUGACAUACCAAAUGGGUGUUGUUUUAAGCCUCUAAGCUUGUAGUAAUUUUGUGACAGCAAUAGAAAACUAGUACACCUCAGAAAGCAGUGGGAAGAGAAAGGGGAAUAAACAAGAAAUUGGUCUAAAAUGAAUUAAUGGAUAGCUGAAGGAGUAUUUUUAAGAAGAAAAAUUGGAUAGAUUCCAAACAAUGGAUAGAAAUGGGCACACAAGGUUAAUGCAGUCAGUGACAUAUAAAGAAAGUAUUUAUUCACUGUAAAAGAAGUAAAAGCAAUUAGGAAAAAUAAAUUUAGACACACACAUCACAUUUUUUAUCAAAAUAAAUUCAAAAUAAGUUAAAAGUUUUAACUGUAAAAGAAAAUUACUAAAAGAAUAUAUCAUCCAAUAGUUUUACAAUCUUAGAAUUCAGGAAGUCUUCCUCAGCAUAAUUACCAAGUCAGAGCUCAUAAGAGGAUGAUAGAUUUGACAACAUAAAUAUGUAAAAUAUCACUGGGCACAGUGGCACCUACCUGUAAUCCCAAUGACUCAGGAGGCUAGGGCUGGAAGUUUGGAAGUUUGGGGACAGCCUUCGCUAUUUAGCAAGACCCUCAGCAACUUAGUAAAACCCUAUCUCAAAAUUAAAAAUUAAAAAAGUAUUUGAAUGUAGCUCAUUGAAUCCUGAGUUCAAUUCCUAAUUGAAAGCAAAAGUAAAAUAUCUAUGCUUUUAAAUAAAAUGUGUGUCAAACUUUAUAAUUAACAGUUCACUCUAGAAAACAACAAUGAAAACUGAAGAAAGUGAUCAAUACAGAUGUUCAAUAUCAAUGAUUCUUUGGUUAUGACAUCAAAAACACAGGCAACAAAAAAAAAGUAGAUAAAUUGGACUUUAUCAAAUUAAAAUCCUUGGUGCAUCAAUAAUAUACUAAGGAGAGUUAAAAGUCUGGAUGUGGUGAUACACACCAAUAAUCCUAGCAGCUCAGGAGGCUGAGACAGGAGAAUUGCAAAUUCAAAGCCAGCCUCAGCAACUUAGGGAGGCAGUAAAGAACAGCUAGAUCCUGUCUCAAGAUAAAACAUAAAAAGUUAGGGCAGGGGGGUGCUGGGACUGGGGAUGUGGCUCAGUGGUUAAGUGCCCCUGGAUUCAAUCCAUGGUAUUAAAAAAUAGGAAAAAAAAGUGAAAAGACAAGCCAUGUGGAAGAAUGGGAGAAAGUAUUUGGAAAAUAUGUAUCUGAUAGAUGAUUAAUAUCCAGAAGGCAUAAAUGUCUCCUAUAAUUCAACAAUAACAACCAACCAAUGAAAAUAUAUGCAAAAGACUUGAAUAGAUAUUUCUUCAAAGAAAAUAUACAAAUGAUCAAUAAAAACAUUAAAAGAUAUUCAGCAUCACUAAUCAUUAGGGAAAUGCAAAUCAAAACAAUGGGAUACCACAUUGAGGUGAAAUGUUCAAGGAAUUACUGGUAGAAUCUAAAAUGUUGAUUAUAUAGAAGUAGAGAGUACAAAAGUAGUUGCCAGAGUCUGAGAAGAUUAGAAGGUUGGAAAAAUAGGGAAAUAUUGGUCAAAGUUAUAAAUAGAGGAGAGGAAUACAUUCUGGUGAUCCAGCUGCACAGACUACAAGUUAACAAUAAUGUGUUGUAUGUUUCAAAACAACUACAAAAUAAGAUUUUUUAAUGUUAAACCACGAAUAAAUGAUAAAUGUUUGAAGUGAUAGAUAUGCUAAUUACACUAACUUGAUCAUUAUACAAUAUAUAUGUAUUAAAACCACAUUGUAACCCAUAAAUUUGUACAAUUAUUUGCAUCAAUUUAAAACAAAAGAAUAGCUACUAUAAAAACAAAGACAAAAUAACAAGUGUUAGUGAGGAUGUGGGAAAAUUAGAAUUUUCUCUUUGUGUAUUGCAAAUGGUAAUAUGAUCUAUAUGAUCCUGUAGUUCUACUCUGGAUGUAUACCCCAAAGAAAUGAAAGCAGAAACUCAAACAAGUUCAUCCAUGUUCACAACAUGGGUGCUGAGUUAUUACCACUUCUCCUCAUAGCAGGGUCUCUCUUAAAGAGAGAUCUGAGCAGCAUUACUUCAUUGCUGUCCUAUCAGCCUUGGAGGGAGAUCUGGAGGGAGAGUAUAUUAAGAAGAGGAAUGGCAAAGUCAAAGUCCCUAAGACAGAAAAAAGGCCUCUUGAGGAAGAG